GAUUAACGCUGGCGGCGUGCCUAACACAUGCAAGUCGAACGAUGACACUUAGUAGACUUCUUCGGAAAGACACUAAGCGGCUUAGUGGCGAACGGGUGAGUAACGCGUGAGUAACCUGCCUUACACAAGGGGAUAGCCUUUGGCAACGAAGAAUAAUACCCUAUAAAACCAUACAAGCACAUGCUAGAAUGGUCAAAGUGAUAGCGGUUUAAGAUGGACUUGCGUCUGAUUAGCUAGUUGGUGAGAUAAAAGCUCACCAAGGCAACGAUCAGUAGCCGGCUUGGAGGAGGGUACGGCAACAUUGGGACGGGGACACGGCCCGAACACCUACGGGAGGCAGCAGUGGGGAUUUUGGCACAAGGGGGGAAGCCCGGAUGCAGCGAGGCCGGGUGAUUUAGAAGGCCUUCGGGUUGUAAAGAUCUUUUGUAUAGGAAGAAAAUGACAGUACUAUACGAAUAAGGUCCGGCUAAUUACGUG
rnacentral:rRNA from 1 species